GAACGGUAGCACAUAUAGCUUGCUCUUGGGUGACUAGUGGCGGACGGGUGAGUAAUGUCUGGGAAACUGCCCGAUGGAGGGGGGUAACUACUGGAAACGGUAGCUAAUACCGCAUAACGUCUUCGGACCAAAGUGGGGGACCUUCGGGCCUCACACCAUCGGAUGUGCCCAGAUGGGAUUAGCUAGUAGGUGGGGUAAUGGCUCACCUAGGCGACGAUCCCUAGCUGGUCUGAGAGGAUGACCAGCCACACUGGAACUGAGACACGGUCCAGACUCCUACGGGAGGCAGCAGUGGGGAAUAUUGCACAAUGGGCGCAAGCCUGAUGCAGCCAUGCCGCGUGUAUGAAGAAGGCCUUCGGGUUGUAAAGUACUUUCAGCGGGGAGGAAGGCGAUGAGGUUAAUAACCUUAUCGAUUGACGUUACCCGCAGAAGAAGCACCGGCUAACUCCGUG
rnacentral:rRNA from 1 species